AGAGUUUGAUCAUGGCUCAGGAUGAACGCUAGCUACAGGCUUAACACAUGCAAGUCGAGGGGAAACGACAUCGAAAGCUUGCUUUUGAUGGGCGUCGACCGGCGCACGGGUGGGUAACGCGUAUCCAACCUGCCCACCACUUGGGGGAUAACCUUGCGAAAGUAAGACUAAUACCCAAUGACGUCUCUAGAAGACAUCUGAAAGAGAUUAAAGAUUUAUCGGUGAUGGAUGGGGAUGCGUCUGAUUAGCUUGUUGGCGGGGUAACGGCCACCAAGGCGACGAUCAGUAGGGGUUCUGAGAGGAAGGUCCCCCACAUUCGGAACUGAGACACGGUCCAAACUCCUACGGGAGGCA
rnacentral:rRNA from 1 species